GACCUAAUAGCGAAAUUGGUAUCGCAUCCACUACCAUCGAGAAAGAACCCGUGAAAGGCCCUCGUUCGAAUUGAGGUUAGGUCA